rnacentral:rRNA from 1 species
CCUACGGGGGGCUGCAGUGGGGAAUAUUGGACAAUGGGGGAAACCCUGAUCCAGCAAUGCCGCGUGAGUGAUGAAGGCCUUCGGGUUGUAAAGCUCUUUUAGCAGGGACGAUGAUGACGGUACCUGCAGAAUAAGCCACGGCUAACUUCGUGCCAGCAGCCGCGGUAAUACGAAGGUGGCUAGCGUUGUUCGGAUUUACUGGGCGUAAAGGGAGCGUAGGCGGUAGAAUAAGUCAGAUGUGAAAGCCCAAGGCUUAACCUUGGAAUUGCAUUUGA